rnacentral:rRNA from 1 species
GACGGAAGGUGCAAGCGUUGCUCGGAAUCACUGGGCGUAACGGGUGCGUAGGCGGCGCGGUAAGUCGGGUGUGAAAUCUCGGAGCUUAACUCCGAAACUGCAUUCGAUACUGCCGUGCUUGAGGACUGGAGAGGAGACUGGAAUUUACGGUGUAGCGGUGAAAUGCGUAGAUAUCGUAAGGAAGACCAGUGGCGAAGGCGGGUCUCUGGACAGUUCCUGACGCUGAGGCACGAAGGUCAGGGGGGCAAACGGG